rnacentral:rRNA from 1 species
GACGAACGCUGGCGGCGUGCUUAACACAUGCAAGUCGAGCGGUAAGGCCCUUUCGGGGGUACGACGAGCGGCGAACGGGUGAGUAACACGUGGGUGACCUGCCCUUAGCUCUGGGAUAAGCCUGGGAAACUAGGGUCUAAUACCGGAUAUGACUCCAUGACGCAUGUUGUGGGGUGGAAAGCCUUGUGCGGCUAGGGAUGGGCCCGCGGCCUAUCAGCUUGUUGGUGGGGUGAUGGCCUACCAAGGCGACGACGGGUAGCCGGCCUGAGAGGGCGACCGGCCACACUGGGACUGAGACACGGCCCAGACUCCUACGGGAGGCAGCAGUGGGGAAUCUUGCACAAUGGGCGAAAGCCUGACGCAGCGACGCCGCGUGGGGAUGACGGCCUCGGUGU